GGGGGCGGGACCAGCGCGCGGGCGGGGCGCGGGUUCCCGGGAGGAUCCGGGCGCGGGGAAAGCGGAGCGUCCGGGACGCGGCGGGACUCGAGUGUUUCGGAAAAGGAGCGUCUCCCCAGGCGGUGGUUGUCUUCACUAGCGAUGGGGUAAAAGGAGGACGCAAUACCUGGUUCAACUUGAGCAGACGGAGUCUCGCUAUGUUGCCCAGGCUGGGGUGCAGUGGCGUGAUCUCUGCUCACUGCAAGCUCCGCCUCCCGGGUUCACGCCAUUCUCCUGCCUCAGCCUCCCGAGUAGCUGGGACCACAGGCGCCCGCCACCACGCCCGGCUGAUUUUUUUUAUUUUUAGUAGAGACGGGGUUUCACCGUGUUAGCCAGGAUGAUCUCAAUCUCCUGACCUCGUGAUCCGCCCGCCUGGGCCUCCCAAAGUGCUGGGAUUACAGGUGUGAGCCACCGCGCCUGGCCGAGCAUGUUAAUUUAAGCAAAUGAAUGUCCCUGGGAAUGAUCUUCAAGGAGAAUUAAAGUGGGAUAGAGAAGUCAUCUAUCUGCACCUGUGUCUGAACCAGAAUGACGAGGCACUUCCAUGUCAGCUAGUUACUGGAGCAGGCGGAGUAAGGAGUACCCCUGGGCUUCUGCCCCGAAACCACCACGGCUACUUCAAAACAAUAUUACAUUAAUUUUCCUGCUUGUUCUUGAGAAGCACUGGUUUGAAAAAUUGGAUGGGGUGAUACAUGUUUUAAUCAGUAUUUACAAGGCUCCUUAAUCACUUCAUCAGACAAUUCAUUGAGCACCUACUAUGUGCCAGGCAGUGUAAUUCAUUGAGCACCUGCUGUGUGCCAGGCAGUGUCUGAGGCACUUCUAGCUAUUAUUUCCUAAGGGUUCCAGCAGCCCAUGGAUAAACUUCAAAGAGUGUAAGCUCCUAAAAAUUGUUCGUAUUUUCUGCACAUUUUUGUAGUUUUGGAGAAGAGAGUUAAUGGAGUUCUUGCCAUUCUCAGAAUUAUUUGAUCCCUUUAGGAAUGAGCAUCUCUAGCCUCUGCCUGUUCAUCUGGGACAAUCUGCACCUGGGCGUGGACCUGCUGCUUCAGAUCAGUAGGUAUCAGAAUGAACUCAGUUGGAUGGGGCAGUUCAGGACCCCUGGCCUCCUUUUAGUCUGGACCCCACUCUCAUUCCUCAUAUUCUCAAUUCACUCUUUCUACUGAGUUACUAUCCUAGUAAUGACAAUGCCUCCUAUCAUCUAGAGACUUGGUUUGAUACAAUGCAUUCACAUACAACUGCUCGUUUUGAUUUCUAUAACUGGGGAAUACAGAAAGCAAAUAUGCGGUGCAAUGGAGGAUGUCUCCAUUACCCCAGAUAACUCCAAAAUUCUUCACCUAGUUACCAGUGCAGGAAAUUCGUUCGAAGGCAGAAAUGGAAAAUGAAUAAGAAACAAUUUGGAUGUGUUCCAAAAAUGGAGAGUUGUCAGGCACUAUAUCAUACAACCUGAAAUAUCAAUGGUGAAGUAGACAGUUCACCUCCACAGGGGGCAGGAGGUUGGACCCAGGGCAAUGGAUGUUUUAUAUGGAUGGUUAACCGGUCUGUGGCCAUGAGGUGGAAAGCUGUGUACACCUGUGAAGCCAUCAUCACAAUCAAGUUAGGGAACAUAUCCAUCACCCAAAAAAGUGUUCUCAUGCCCUUUGGUAAUUCCUCCCUCCUAAAUGUCCCCACCCUACCCCACAUCCCAGUUUCUAUGCAAAAACCGCUGACCAACUUUCUAUCACUAUAGAUUUGUUUGUAUUUUCUAGACUUUUAUAUAAAAAGAAUUAUACUGUAUGUACACUUUUUUGUCUGUUUUUUUCACUUAACAUAUUUAUUUUCAGAAUCAUCUAUCUUGUUGCAGGUGUAUUCCUUUUUAUUGCUCAGUAGUAUUCCACUGUAUGGAUAUAACACAAUUUGUUUAUCAUUCACCUGUUGAGGGACAUUAUACUUGCUUCUAAAUUUUUACUAUCACAAAUAAAGCUGCUGUAGGCAUUCAU
ensembl:lncRNA GAS6-DT GAS6 divergent transcript